UUCUCUUUUUUGUAUAUACGUCUCGCUCUCUCUCCUGCUCUCUCCUUUCUCUCCAUCGACAUCUCAGACAAACACACGAGCAGCACCAGCGACCACCACCAGCGACCACCACCAGCCACUGCCCCUCUGAUCACCAAUCGAUUGCAUUUUGAUUUGAUUAAUUCGGUGAGAGCAUCAAUCGAUUGAUUCGGUGAGAGCCUUGGAUUAAUUCGUUUCAUUUCAACUUUAUGAUCUCAAGCAGCAAGGAUUCAUAGAGAGACAGGAGCUUAUGAGGAAACACUCAAAUGACAGUCGACAAUCAAAUUGUUGUUGGGACUUUGAUGAAUUUAGUUUUUAUAAAUUCAUCAGGUUGAGUAGACUCAUAAGUGUGACCACCUCAAAAUGUGUAUUCUAUCAGUAUGCUUAUAUACUCUUAAUUUUUGUGGGGUCAAAGUAAUGGUGUGUCGAUUUUAGAGAAUGUCAAAUACAAGUUGUUGCAUUGGGAGGGGACAAACUUGGUGGUUGUAGAAGGCCAAAUUGCAUCAAGGGAUCCCAAGUCAAAGGUGCAUCGUGUGACUCUUGGACCUUUGUGUUGGAAAGUAUGGGUGAACCACGUAAUAUUCAACAUGCCGUUGUUUCGUUCUACUCAUAAAAUGUAUGAUCUUCAAGAUGCAAUUGGAAGUAUAGUUGCAUGGCCUAGACAAUUCGUUCUUUUGGACUAAAUAUUAGACUAAUUGAUUUACGAUUUGUAGUUAUACUUUUUGGAUAUUUAAAAUCUUAUUUUAGAGAUUAGUGAAUCUUAUGAUUUGGAUAUUUUUUUUGAUUUGUAUGUUUGAGGUUGUUAUCAGCUUGAUAUGAUAGAAGUUGAGGAUGAAAGUUAGCA